AUCCAGGAGUCUUGAAGCAAAUCAAUUUUCUGGCAGUGUUCCUCCUGAACUCGGGAAACUAAGUAACUUGACAACUUUGUAAGACAUGUCAUUCCUUUGGAGCUCUUGUAGAUUUAAUUAUUUCUUUGUUUUUGUUAUUAAGACUAUAUUAGGUUUCUUUAACUGUUUGUGCGUCCGUGAAAGCAUGUAUUAAUAUGUACCAUGUGGAACUCAAUUUUUAUUUUUUUACGACAGGGAGGAGGUUUUUCAAGUUGGAUGAAAUCCAUAGAAUGAGACCAUAUUAGCUUCUUGUUGUCUUGGGAGGAGGCUUAUGGUGUGGGAUCUUCGCAGUGUAGUGAUAAGCUUGGUCUACGCUUAGAGCUGGGUUCCUUUGCUGCUGGAGUGAUGAUAUCAACUGAUCUUGCUCAGCAUACACUCAAACAAGAGAAUCAGUGACAUAAAUGGGAUGGCUCAGGAAUUUCCUACCUUGAGCAACACUACAGGGCUAGUAAGAUUGUAUGUUUGAUGAUUAUAUAAUUUAUAAUGUUCAAUAUUUAUAGUGUGUACAGGUGAGUUUCAUCCUGAGUUUAAUUUUAUUCAUUUUUUUCGUAUUUAGGGUUUUGAGAAACUGCAACAUGUCUGGUGAAAUCCCGAAAUAUAUUUGGAAAAUGAUGAAUCUGCAAAUGUUGCAAGUAAAGCAUGUUAAGCUUUGGUGAAUGAUUUUUAUUUGACCUUCAGUGUUUUCAUCAAUGUAUAAUUGAUUACACGACCAAUGCGAUUUAAUUUUCCAUCAUGUUAUUGUUAUUGCUGUUAGUUUUUUUCACUGUCAAGGCAUGAAAAGGACAAAUCACAGCUCAUUUAUAUGAUAGUGCUUAUUGAAUUUUGUUCACAAAUAGUAUAUAAUUUUUGAUCAUCAUGCAGGUGGAUUCUGUAGUUUACCUUGUUGACGCGUACGACAAAGAGAGAUUUGCAGAGGCUAAAAAGGAGUUGGAUGCUCUACAUAAAAAAGAGCAACAAUACUCAACCUUGUUAACACCAGAUGCUCUUUUUUUUUGAAAUUGAUGCUGAUUAUGUUAAAUUUUUGUUAGAAUGAAUUGUUUUUUGUUUUUUGGGGUUUAGAAUAGGGUUUUGUGAAUUGUUCCUUGUUUUUGGAAUCAAUGUUGUUGCUGCUGAGUUAUGUGCUGAAACUUGGAUGUAGAAAAUUUUAUAAUAAGACUUGUUUUGAUUA